GCCCCUUCCACACUGUGAGGCAGUAAAAGGGUUAACGGGCUCAGGGGCCUCCCUCAGGUCUCAACUCCCUCAGCCAGCUCUGGCCUGACCAAGAGCUCCAGAUCGAGUGAGGGCUUGGCUCAUGUAACACCCAAGGAAGCUGCUCUCUGGAGAACCACCAGAUCUAAAUGCAAAGUGCAAGGCAACAUGCAGAGUUGGCCAAUACUGGAGCCCAGAAGAAACCCCACCAUUAGAGAGAGGCAUUGGGAAGAGAAAGGAGGAAGGAGUAUAGACUCGGAUGACCCAGAGCCCCAUGGCCAGAAUUACCAAGAGCAAGAAGACGAGCAAUCCCUUGGCCAGGAGGCAGAAGGCUGUUGAAGGCUUCUCAGAAGCAUAGUUAGGAUCUGGGAUAGAAGAAAGGAGGAAGGGGGCCCAUCAGAGGAGCAAUUAAGCCAAUGAGAAAUCAGACCCACACCCCAAUUCUGAUGUAACAGCCUUGGGAAAGAGGUUGCAGUGAAAAGCUGGUCCUGCUGUGGUGGAGAGAAUGGAGGAAAGAUAAUAAAAGGCCAAACCUUUGCUCAAACUUUCUCCUCAGCUUCCCUUUGGAUCUGGAAAGCUGGGGACCCACAUGGCAGAGCCAUGGUACUGGAGGAGCCAUUAACAAUGUCAGUGUUAAAAAGGUGAUUAUUCAAUUGAACCAUGAAGGUGGAUGGAGAGAACUGUAAGAGUCUGCAAAUUGUUGAAGUGCACCCAAAGGAGUCAUUGUGAAACAGAGGAGAAAAGAGUGUUCCUCGCAGAGGGAGCAGCCUGUGCAGGAUCCUUGGGGUUGGGGAGAGAGCUGGGCACACUGAAAUACAGAAGAAGCCCACACAGGCAGGGCCAAGAGAUGCGGGCAGAGAAGAGUGGAGAUGAGGCUACAAAGACGGACUGCAGGCAGCUCACUGGGGGCGUAUAGACCUGCUGAGUUUAUAAGUUAUGCACUCAAGAAGUUUACCUUUGGCCAGGUGUGGCGGCUCACGCCUAUAAUCCCAGCACUUUGGGAGGCCGAGGCGGGCGGAUCACAAGGUCAAGAGUUCGAGACCAGCCCGGCCAACAUGGUGAAACUCCCGUCUCUACUAAGAAUACAAAAAUUAGCCCAGCGUGGUGGCACAUGCCUACAAUCCCAGGUACCUGGGAGGCUGAGGCAGAAGAAUUGCUUGAACCCAGGAGCUAGAGGUUUCAGUGAGCCAAGAUAGCGCCACUGUACUCCAGACUGGGGACAGAGCAAGACUCCAUCUCAAAAAAAAAAAAAAAAAAAAAAAAGUUUACCUUUGACGGCAGGGGGAAACAGAGGAUGGGAGGCAAAGGGAAAACAUGGGGUAGAGGGAUAAUUUUAUUGCCAAUGAUUUCGUUUUAAGAGUGGAGAUGAGGCUACAAAGAUGGACUGCAGGCAGCUCAAUGGGGGUGUAUAGACCUACUGAGUUUGUAAGUUAUGCACUCAAGAAGUUUACCUUUGGCCCGGCGUGGCGGCUCACGCCUGUAGUCCCAGCACUUUGGGAGGCCGAGACGGGCGGCGGAGAUUUGAACAUAUUUAAAUGCUGACGAGCAGAGCCAGUAGGAAGAGGGGUUGAAGAUUUGGGGAAAAGGUGAUGAUAAUGGAACAAGGCCUCUCCCUGACCCCACCCCACCCCACACACACCCAGAAGACAGGAGGGAACUGAGAUUCAGAGCCAAGGGAAAGGAACUGACCUUGGAUUACAAGAUGGGCCUCGGCUAUAAUGAGAAGAAAAUGGGCAGAAAUGCAGAUAGGUUUGUAUGUGACAAGCAGUUAAGGGAAGGCCUGCACAGUGGUUUCGAUUUUCUCUGAAGUGGAGUCAAAGUUAUCGGCUAAAACUGAAGGUUUACGUGAAAGGCAGGCAUUUCAAGAGAAUGGACACAGUUUGAAGCAGGUGAGGUAACUGUGUGUUAAGGUUUCUUAGGAAGGUCCUCAUGUAAGCCUGUUAUCCUGCCCUAAUUAUUAAUAGUGCCCCCUUUCACUCUCAGAAAGUGCUGUAGUUUGGAGGAUAAGUUAUGGUUACCCUAGAGCAGAAGCAAAAUCUUACUAAAGGAAUCAUACUGAAACAGCUAAACUUUAAGAGUUCAAGGCUGCCCUUACCUUUUUCAGUCAACAAAUUGCCCUAAAGAUUUAGAAGGAGAUGGUGGGGGGGCAGUGUGGAAGAGCAUGCCUCUGGAACCAAACUGCUUGGGUUCCUUCAUCUGCAGAAUGGAAUAUUCACAGUACCCGCUUUAUAGGGUGGUUGUGAAAAUCAGAUGAACUAAUGGCAGAAAGCAUUUGGCAUGGAGUUGGCACAUGGGGAAGGCUCAAUGAAUGUGAGUCAUGGUUAUUACUGAAGGUUGGUUAAGCAUAAAGACAGUGGGCUUUGGCAUUAGGAAGACCUGGGGCCCCUUGGUAAUUGGCCAGGGUCUGUGAUUAUUGAAGAGAAUACACAGGAAGUCUCUAACAUAAGACACGUGAAUAGGUUUAUUCAAGAACGUUAGCUGGCAGCACCAAUCAGCCCACAGUCUAAAGAGACAGCAAGCAUUGCUUUGGGAGGUACAACCCAGCUCAAUGUUUUCUAUGCCAGCCGCCUGUUCACCAGAUCAGCCUGUUACAUAUGAAGAGAUGGAACACACUGGGCUAAUCCCCUUAACCACACUGCAAGGGCAACCCAUUCCUUGUCUCUCAGGCUUCACAUAUCUCGGAUUGGUUCAUGCACAUACAUACCCUUUCCUCAACUUACCUCUUAAGUACAAUGUGUCUGCCCUUCUUUCCUAAAAUGGACUCGGCUCAUGUUCUUCUUGAUUGCAUGUCCUGUGACUCCCUGAUGCUUAUUGCUCUCAAAAGGUAGGCUUCAUACCACCUGCAUCAUAAUCAAGCUGACAGCUAGUUAAAACGCUUAUUCGGGCCAGGCGCAGUGGCUCACGCCUGUAAUCCCAGCACUUUGGGAGGCCGAGGCGGGCAGAUCACGAGGUCAGGAGUGCAAGACCAGCCUGGCCAACAUAGUGAAAUCCCAUCUCUACUAAAUAUACAAAAAAUUAGCUGGGCAAGGUGGCGAGUGCCUGUAAUCCCAGCUACUCAUGAGGCUGAGGCAGAAGAAUCGCUUGAACCUGGGAGGCAGAGAUUGCAGUGAGCAGAGAUCACUCCACUACACUCCAGCCUAGGUGACAAUGCAAGAUUCUGUCUCAAAAAACAAACAAACAAACAAACAAACAAAAAACAGAAAUGCUGAUUUGGACCCACUGAGUCAUGAUGGGAGAAAGCAGAGUGUGGCCUGUGAAUCCACCUGCUUAUCAAGGUCCCCCGGUGAUUCUACUCUAAGCUAAAGUUUGGGAAUCACUUCACUUCACCUGCUCUUCUGUUCUGUUGGAGCAGAGAGGAAGUUCCCCAGCCAGUGAUAUCUUUUGUUUCCAAUCACAAAGGGUUUCUUUCCCCCUAAGUAAAGCCAUGAAACAACACUCUGCUUCAUUCUUGGUCUGGCCUUUGGAGAACAUGAGAGGGGCUCCAGGAGCUUUUAAUCUGUUCUCCUGGGCUUUCUGAGGAGCUGUCUCAAGGACUGCCGCAGGGAAGCAGGUGCAAAGCCAGGGAGCUUCAACCACAGACAGCCUGCUUUUAUCUUUUCACACAGGGAGUUCUGAUGCAGAACUUAUUUGAAAAUAGGGUGCUCUUGCUAAAAGAAAAAAGUUUAGAAUCUACGG